rnacentral:rRNA from 1 species
CCUACGGGAGGCAGCAGUGGGGGAUAUUGCACAAUGGGGGAAACCCUGAUGCAGCGACGCCGCGUGUGGGAAGACGGUCCUCUGGAUUGUAAACCACUGUCCCCAGGGACGAAGAUGACGGUACCUGGGGAGGAAGCUCCGGCUAACUACGAGCAAGCAGCGGCGGUAAUACGUAGGGAGCGAGCGUUGUGCGGAAGUACUGGGGGUAAAGGGAGCGUAGGCGGGGAUGCAAGUUGGGUGUCAAAACUACCGGCUCAACUGGUAGUCGCACUCGAAACUGCAGCUCUUGAGUGAAGUAGAGGCAGGCGGAAUGCCUAGUGUAGCGGUGAAAUGCGUAGAUAUUAGGAGGAACCCCAGUGGCGAAGGCGGCCUGCUGGGCUUUUACUGACGCUGAGGCUCGAAAGUGUGGGGAGCAAACAGGAUUAGAUACCCUUGUAGUC